rnacentral:rRNA from 1 species
AUUGAACGCUGGCGGCAUGCCUUACACAUGCAAGUCGAACGGUAACGGGCCUUCGGGUGCCGACGAGUGGCGGACGGGUGAGUAAUACAUCGGAACGUGCCCGAUCGUGGGGGAUAACGAGGCGAAAGCUUUGCUAAUACCGCAUACGAUCUACGGAUGAAAGCAGGGGACCGCAAGGCCUUGCGCGGGCGGAGCGGCCGAUGGCAGAUUAGGUAGUUGGUGGGAUAAAAGCUUACCAAGCCGACGAUCUGUAGCUGGUCUGAGAGGAUGAUCAGCCACACUGGGACUGAGACACGGCCCAGACUCCUACGGGAGGCAGCAGUGGGGAAUUUUGGACAAUGGGCGCAAGCCUGAUCCAGCCAUGCCGCGUGCAGGAUGAAGGCCUUCGGGUUGUAAACUGCUUUUGUACGGAACGAAAAGCCUUCUUUUAAUACAGGAGGGUCAUGACGGUACCGUAAGAAUAAGCACCGGCCAACUACGUG